rnacentral:misc_RNA from 1 species
GCGAAGGCAAUUUUGUAUUCAUAUAAUUGACGUCAAGCUCAUUUGCAUGUGCAUUGGCCCGAAGGGCAGGCGCAGGAAGAGCCGCAGCUGCAGGAGCACCCGGGACCCAUAAUGACAGAUGUGAUUUGGUGUCUAACGAGACUUAAUUGUAUUCGAGGAAGCUUGUGUGCGUGUAAUAUGUGUGACUGGCUUCUUGAAGGAUGCGCGAAGGCAAUUUUGUAUUCAUAUAAUUG